rnacentral:lncRNA from 1 species
UUUGAUGUUUUUGUUUAUGUAUGUUGAUGUUUUAUUAAGGUAAGUUGUUGCUUUUGUUAUUGUAGAUGUUUUUGUUGAGGUAUGUGGAUGUUUUUGUUGAGAUAUGUUGUUAUUUUAUUAAGGUAAGUUGGUGUAUUUGUUGAUAAAUGUUGUUGUUUAUGUUAUUAUAGAUGUUUUUGUUAAGGUAUGUUGAUGUUUUUG